CGGCUAUUUUAUUAGCUAAUCACUAGCAAGUAUUUACACAUCAUUCAUUGUUCAUAUUAUACCAAAAGUAGCAAGUUUCUAUACAUGCCAUACCCAAAACAAAACGUCUAGUUAUACCGAGUUAUUUCUUUGAUAGUGUGAUCGGCCUCCGACGUUUCCUUCGAUCCCCGAGUGACUAGAUAAGUACUAUAAGAAGAAGAAAAUAAAGAGAUUAAGCACUAGGCUUAGUAAGCUUACAAGCAAAUAAAUCACAACAUUCAACAUAAUGGAUAAUUAUGCAUAAUAUCAUCUAACAUCAUAAAUUUCUUUACUUCUCAAUUUGUAUCUUCUUCUUUAUUCCCUUACUUUCUUUCUUACCUGACCUUUCCUUUUUCAUAAGUAUAAUCUACUUUUCCUUUGCUGUUAAUUCACUGUAAUUUAACUCGUAUCCUGACCCGUUGAACCACUCGGAAUACUAAGGAUACUAAGGUCGUUCCUGUCUAUCAAUAUCCUGCCAAUGCCAUGUCUUUGACAUGGACUUACAUGAAUUAUUCCUGUCUCCAAUGCCAUAUAUAAUAUGGACUUACAUGGCUCAAUCCUGUCUCCAAAGCCAUAUUUCUAAUAUGGACUUACAUGGCGCAUUUCUGUUCUGUCCUGUCAACUCUAAUAUCCUAACAUUCCUAGGGUUCAACCGGGGCUUUCUAACACUUUUCCUCUGUCACUCCACCUUAAAUUCGACUUUACAUAUUUUCAUAACAUAAGUAUAUAAAUGCUGGAAAUUGACAAUAAUAAUGUAAAAUAAAAGAAUAUUGCAUUUAUUUACUGUAACUUACCUUGAUACAAAAUGUGACUAAACUUUACAAUUUAGUCCUUUACUUUUUCUUUUCCCCGAUCUACUCCCGAAUUUCGUUCUUCUUGAUCUAUAAUAGCAAAUUUAACUUAUUUAAUAUUCACAUUUAUUAAAACAGUCCUUGACCCAAACUUUUGCAAAAUUAUAUUUUUACCCCUAAACUUUCACAUAUUUGCACUUUUUCCCCAAGGAUCGUAAAUUAAACUUCAUCCUAUUUUCUUAUGUUUUAUGACAUGCUGAUCAUUUUUCCCUUCUAUGGCAAUAUCAAAAUCACACUCUAACAUAUACUUAUGACUAUUGAUAUUUUUUUCCAAUUUAAGCCCUUUUACUCGUUUUCACUUAAAACCGAGUAGCAUAAGUUGUUUAACAUAAUUUAAAACCUCAUAUUCUAUCAUAAAACACCAAAAUACACAAAUUUCAGCCAUGGGUAUUUUUCCAAAUAUGAACCCUAGGCUGAAUUAUUGCUAGAAUAAGCUUAAUCAAGUUACCGGGACUCCAAAAACGUAAAGAUCAUUAAAAACGGGGCUUGGAAUCACUUACUAUGAAGCUUGAAAGUUGAAGAAACCCCAGCUAUGGAGGAGAGCAAAAAUCGGCAGAAACUAAUUGAGAAGAUGACCAUUUUUUUGUUAUUUUUCCCUAUUUAAUUCAUUUAAUAUCCAAGUGACCAAAUUACCCCUCCUUACUAAACUUUCAAAAAUUUCUUCGAUGUCCUAAUUUUUGUCCAUGAACUUAAAAUUGGUCAAAUUGUUAUUUAAACCCUCCUAAUUAAUAUUCCAAAGUAAUUUCAUACUAAAAACUUCUAGAAUGGAAGUUUUGCAAAUUAUUCAAUUUAGUCCCUAACCUCAACUUAAGCACUUUAUGCAUGGAAUUUCAUCACGAAAUUUUCACACAAUCAUGCAAUCAUACCAUGAACCUUAAAAUAAUAAUAAAAUAAAUUUUUCUACCUCGGAUUUUUGGUUUCGUAACCACUAUUCCGUUUAGGUCUUAUUUUGGGAUGUUACAUUUCUCCCCCCUUUUAGGGAUUUUCGUCCCGAAAAUCUUACCUGUGAAGAAAUUUGGGUACUAUUUUCGCAUAGCCUCUUCGGGUUCCCAUGUAGCCUCAUCUACCCCGUGUCUAUUCCAUAGUACUUUCACAAGUGCAAUACUUUUAUUCCUUAAUUGCUUUACCUCUCGAGCUAGAAUCUUUGCCGGUUCUUCACCGUAAGUCAUGUCUGGCUGAAUCUCAACCUCUGUCUGAGAAAUCACAUGUGAUGGAUCUGAACAAUAACGAUGUAGCAUAGAAACAUGAAAUACAUUAUGAAUCUUCUCUAACUCAAUCGGCAAAGCUAACCGAUAUGCUAAUGGUCCGACUCUCUCAAUUACUUCAAACGGUCCAAUAAAACGUGGACUUAGUUUGCCUUUCUUGCCAAAUCUGAGAACUUUCUUCCACGGGGAUACUUUCAGAAAAAACUUUGUCACCAACUUGAUAUUCGAUCUCUUUUCUUUUUAAAUCUACAUACGACUUCUGCCUGUCUGAAGCUGCUUUUAAACAAUUUCUGAUAACUUUCACUUUUUCUUCUGUUUCUUUAACUAGAUCAACCCCGUAAAUCUGGCUUUCUUUAAGCUCUGUCCAAUAUAAAGGUGUACGAAAUUUACGUCCAUACAAAGCUUCAUAAGGUGUCAUCUUCAAACUUGACUGGUAACUAUUAUUAUAGGCAAACCCUACCAAUGGUAAGUAUUUUUCCCAACUACCUUGAAAUUCUAAUACACAACAUCUAAGCAUAUCUUCAAGUACCUGAAUAACUCUCUCUGACUGACCGUCGGUUUGAGGAUGGAAAGCUGUACUAAAACUCAACUUUGUGCCCAAAGCCUCUUGUAAUUUCUUCCAAAACCGUGAAGUAAAUCUUGGAUCUCUGUCUGAAAUAAUCGAUAAUGGUACCCCAUGUAGCCUGACUAUCUCUGAAAUAUACAACUCCGCCAACUUGUCAAGUGAAUAAUCCAUACGAACUGGGAUAAAAUGAGCCGACUUCGUUAACUUAUCAAUCACAACCCAUAUUGCAUCUUUCUUUCUCGGAGUAAACGGUAAUCCUGUUACAAAAUCCACAGUAACUCGAUCCCAUUUCCAUUUCGGAACUAGCACAGGCUGCAAUAAUCCUGAGGGUACCUGAUGUUCGGCCUUUACCUGUUGACAAAUCAAGCAUCUAGAAACAAACUCUGAAAUAUCUCUUUUUAUUCCUACCCACCAAUAUAAUUUUUUCAAAUCAUUAUACAUUUUUGUACUGCCUGGAUGAAUAGAUAAAGGACUGCUAUGUGCUUCCUGUAAAAUCUUCCGAAUAAGCUCAUCAUUCUUUAGUACACAUAUUCUGUCUCUAAACAUCAAACAACCAUCAGAACCAAUCCAGAAAUCUGAUUCUAUGCCUGACUCACAUUGAGCUCUUUUAGCUUGUAACUCAUUAUCAUCUUUCUGAGCUUCACAAAUCUCUUCAAGAAAUACCGGUUUAGCUCUCAAUUCAGCUAAAAUAGAACCAUCAUCUGACAUGGCUAAAUUGGUAUUCAAAGCUCGCAAUGUAAAUAAAAGUUUCCUACUUAAAGCGUCAGCAACUACAUUUGCCUUACCUGGGUGAUAAUCAAUCACUAACUCAUAAUCUUUAAGCAAUUCCAACCAUCUUCUUUGCCUCAAAUUCAAAUCUUUUUGAGUCAUCAAGUAUUUCAAGCUUUUAUGAUCGGUAAAUAUCCGGCACCUUUCACCAUACAAAUAAUGUUUCCAAAUCUUCAAUGCAAAUACAAUAGCAGCUAGCUCUAAAUCAUGUGUCGGAUAAUUUUUCUCAUGUGGCUUCAAUUGUCUAGAGGCAUAAGCAAUUUUCCUUCCUGCAUGAGUACACAACCGAGCCCAUUCAAGGAUGCAUCACUGUAAAUCACAAAUUCUUUACUCGGUUCUGGCUGUACUAAGAUAGGAGCUUCCGUCAACAAUGCCUUUAACUUGUCAAAACUUUGUUGGCACUUCUCAGUCUAUUCAAACUUAACAUCCUUCCGUAGCAGUCUCGUCAACGGGGUAGCUAUCAUGGAAAAUCCCUCCACAAAUUGUCUAUAAUAUCCGGCAAGACCAAGAAAACUUCUAACUUCUGAUCAUUUCUAGGAAGCUUCCAGUCAACAAUGGCUAAAAUCUUGCUCGUAUCAACCUUAAUACCUUCACCUGAGACAAUAUGUCCAAGAAAACCAACUUCUCGUAACCAGAACUCACUUUUGUUGAACUUGGCAUACAACUGAUUAUCUCUCAGAAUUUGUAAAACUGUUCUCAAAUGCUCUGCAUGCUCAGUCUCAUCAUGAGAAUAAAUCAAAAUAUCAUCAAUGAACACAACUACAAACUUAUCUAAAUACGAUCUAAAAAUUCGGUUCAUUAAGUCCAUGAAAAUGGCAGGAGCAUUAGUCAAGCCAAAUGGCAUCACAAGGAACUCAUAAUGACCAUACCUAGUCCGAAAAGCAGUCUUCAGGACAUCUGACUCUUUAACUCGCAACUGAUAGUAUCCGGAUCUCAAAUCUAUUUUGGAAAACACAGUAGCUCCCUUCAAUUGAUCAAACAAAUCAUCAAUUCUAGGCAAUAGAUACUUGUUCUUUACUGUUACCUUGUUAAGUUACCGAUAAUCUAUGCAUAAUCUCAUCGAUCCGUCUUUCUUUUUCACAAAUAGCACUGGUGCACCCCAUGGUGAACUACUGGGUCUUACCAAGCCUUUAUCUGUUAAUUCUUGCAACUGAGCUUUCAAUUCUUUCAAUUCCAACGGAGCCAUUCUAUAAGGAGCAAUAGAAAUGGGCGUGGUACCUGGAAUCAACUCAAUACCAAACUCAACUUCUCUAACAGGAGGCAAACCUGGUAGUUCUUCCGGAAACACAUCGGGAAACUCACAUACCACAAGCACUGAUUCAAUUUUCAAUUCUGGAUCUUUAGUGUUUAACACAAAAGCAAGAUAAGCUUCAUACCCUUUUCUCAAACAUUUUUGAGCAGACAUAACAGAAAUUAUGGGAAAUAAACUAUCUGACUCUUCUGAAUUAACCCAAAGAAUUUCACCAUUUUCACACUUCAACUCAAUGAAUUUCUUUCUACAAUUCACUAUCACAUCAUGUGUAGUCAAUCAAUCCAUACCAAGAAUCACAUCAUACUCAUCAAAUGGCAAUAGCAUGAGAUCAGCCGGAAAACAGUAGCCUCUAAUCAUUAAAGGACAAUUUCUACAUACUUUAUCUACUAAUACAUGCUUGCCUAAUGGAUUUGAUACUUUAAUCACAAAUUCUGUAGAUUCUAUAGGCAUACUUAUACUAGGCAUCAAUUUCAUACAAACAUAAGAAUGAGUCGAACCCGGAUCAAUCAGAGCAAUGACAUUAAUAUCAUAUAGAGAAAAUGUACCCGUAAUCACAUCGGGGGAGGAUGCCUCUUCGCGUGCACGAAUAGCAUAAGUCCUUGCAGGGGCUCUAACAUCUGGUCUCACAGCCGAAUCUCUAAAGGUACCUCUGUUACUUGCUCCUACUCCCGGUUGCCUCGGUGAUCUGC
rnacentral:lncRNA from 1 species